UGGCCGAUCGGGCCGGGGCCGGGUCGCUGUGGCUGACCCAUCUGUGGCCGGGCAGCGACCCGGCCGGUCACCUGGCCGCGGCCGCC
rnacentral:tRNA from 1 species